UCUGACCUCUCUGCCCCGCGUCUGCUGUUGAAAAGGUGAAUUUGUAGUAGAAAUGGAAGUAGAUAUGUGAAGUGGAAAUUUAAUUGGGCAGUGCUACACCUUCACAAUAGUGUGCAACAUCCACAUUCGCCUGAAAGGGAGAGGGAAGGUUAAAAAGUUCAGGUUCUGUUAACUGAACAUGUUCAGGUUCAGGUUCUGUUAACUGAAAAAGUUUAGAUUCAGAAACAUUGUUGGACUGAUAGGAAGUUUGUUGAACAGAGAAAUCUAUACCUGUAAUUUCUACUGUUAUGCCUUUGUUACUCCAGUCAAAAUUUUCCUGUCAAAAUUUUCAGUCAAGCACAACUGAUCAUGUAACUUGAGAAGAUUACUCCAGAUUUUGGAACUAAUCAAUUACUCCAGAUUCUGUCAAUUACUUGUGUCAAUUAAUCAUGUCAAUGAAUAAUUACUCGAGUAGGUAGGACAUGGGUAUAGGCAAGUUAUAAAAUUGCAGUUGUGUCAAUUACUUGAAGCAAUACGUAGUUAAACUGAGAUAGCUCACAGUAUUUGUCUGCAACCUAUGCCAUGUCCUUGUCAGGUAGACUGCUCUUCUGUCCCUCCUUUGGAAUGUGAAGUCCACUGGAAAUGAGCACAAGUCAGGUCCGUCAAACUAAGAUUAGUCGAAAGCAACAGAAGAGCACUAACCAACCAAAGUUCCACUAGAAUUAGGCUACUAGAGAGGAAAUAAACAAGUGUGCACCAUUUGUCCAAUUGCAAACAUGCCUAAAGUUUCCAAUUGCAAACUAGGAUUAUUUGAAUCAUUUGAAUUUAUUUGAUUUAUUUGGAUUUAUACACCAUUUGUCCAAUUGCAAACAUGCCUAAAGUUUCCAAUUGUCCAAUUUCAGUCAUUCAUUUUAGUCCAAUUUUGUCUUCUUAUUUCUAGCACACUGACACAGAAGAUUUUUGCUCUGAUUCACUUUUAGUCUAAAAAAAGACAUGGCACACUAGAGAAAAAAGAAGAAGAAAAAAGAAAUCAUGCCUUGCUGAAGAAAAAAGAAAAAAGAAAUGUUACAAUGUUGUCACAGUAAUUACUUGAUCAAAAUAAUUAUGUCCUUAACUGAAUAAACUUGAUUUAGUUAACUGAAUAAACUUGAUUUAAGUAUAUUCUUACAGAAACUUUGCCUACUUUUGUGUACUAAGGAACUGAAAACAUGAUCCUCCUCCUACAUUAUGUAUAUCCAUCCAUUUUCUUUUGGCCACAACAAGAAAGAUCUCCUUUCAUCUUUUGUACUCUUGGUAUGAUUUUCUAGACAUAGCCCUAAAAUCUCUAAACACUCUUCUGACAAGCAAUACUUCUAAAACUAUGCAUAAAAGAUUAAAAAAAAACAUAAAUUGGAAAACAAGCAAUACUUCUAAAACCAGUUGCAAGCAAAUGUACAGUAAAAUAAAAUGAUCCCAUAGUGUACUUAAUUCAGAACACAUGGAAGAAACUUGACUAAAUGUCCAGAUUUUGGAAAAAAAAUCCAAGUUAACUAAAUGACUGAUUCAAUUUCAGGCAACUUGGAGAAGAGAUCGUUUGAUCAUUGACUGUACUUAAUUCAGAACACAUGGAAGAAACUUGUUAGAAACUGAAACGGUUAAUAUUGAGAAUUAAGUUACUCUAAAUGGAGUACCAAAUUUUGAGAACAAGCCAUCUGAAAAGAGCACUAGCUAAGAUCUAAUCCUUAUGUCCAGUUAACCACUAAUUUACUGUAACCAAUGUUCAGAGACAAAUCAGACUUGACAGUAAAGAUCAAAAUUUCAGACUUGACAGUAAAUAUAGUGGAAACUGAAGAUUAUUUAGGAACACACUUGUUCCUAAACUUGAUGUUGAUUUAGCAACACAGUCUUUAGUGAGAGUAUAAAAAAUAACUACUCCAUCUACUUAAGUGAUUCUACAGUAAACCAGAACAAGUUGAUUGCAAACUUGACACAUAAAUAAAAUUUGACAUCAAUGAAAUUUAGACUAUGAAUGCCUGCCCAUGACAUCUGCAUGGUUCUCUACACCACACACCAUCAACACUGCUAGCUACUCCUACUCGAUCGUCCCAGCUUUUGCCACGGACAGCAAGAACCUAACACGUUCUCCACCUAGCAGCUAGCUAGGAUGGCCAUGAAUCCUCUCUCCCAGGAGCGCCCCAAUGCAUGGCCAUGGGGGUUGGCCAUGUACACGAACCUGGACUACUGAUUUGAACUCUUAACACUACUGAAAACAAAAUUCAGUGAACAUACACUCCAGAAAAUUCAGCCAGAAAAUUCAGUGACUGCAGAACAUACACUCCAGAAAAUUUUCAGUGAUCUUGUACUCAAUUUUACAGUGAACUUGCUAAAGAAGCUCCCAAGCUUCAAGAUAGACUAAAUUUGGCAGCUAAUGUACUCAAAAGAAGCAUUUUGGAGUACAAGAAGGGGAAAGCGGGAGGCAAGAAGAGGGGGGAGCCGCACCUUGGCAAGAGGGGGGCGAGGGGACUGGGUUGGGCCAUGGGCAGACGGAGGCGGGGGCGAGUGCCU
rnacentral:lncRNA from 1 species